AGAUUUCCUGGAGCACAGAGUGCCUCACUCCACCCUGAACUCCCUCAGGGGUGUUGAAGGUCAACAGCUACAACAGCACAGUGUUCAGUCUCCACAGAGGCAGAUGGCAAAUGCUGUUGUUCAGUGGUCGGCAAUGAAAUUGAACUGCUACUGUGGCCAUUUGUGACCAGCUGAGGAUGAAGCCAGUGCUGGAGAGGACAGAGAGAAGAGCUCGAAAGAACCUGGCUUCUUCAUAACAUUGCUGAGUGGCUGGAUCCACCUGCCUUUGAAGCUCUUGAUCUCUCUGCCAACUUUCAUGUUACCUGAGAUAAUAAACUCUUUAUUGUUUGA
ensembl:lncRNA